rnacentral:lncRNA from 1 species
AAAUUCAAUCGUCCAAAACAAUGUGUCCUGCCGCCGCUGCCGCUGCCGCUGCCGCCGGUGGAAGUCAGAAUUCCUGAAGCUGUUCUUACGCCGCACUUCACUCAAUCCCUCCAAAACUUAUGCUUCUCCGUCUUCAAAAGGUGGUGUCAAUCACAAGGUAUAUUCUUAAUUACCAGUUGUUUGAUUCUUAAUUAAAGGGUUUGAGAUUUUUAACAUGCUUAGUAUUGGGGACGCGAUAUAACUGGUUCGGUAUAUGCUCGCUAGGUCUUAACACUGAAUUUGCUAUCGUCCUUUUUGUUCCGGCGUUGUUGUUUACGUUGUUACUUGGCGAAUGAAAAAAAUGAAAAUUAUAAAUAUGUUGAUGGUGGAUCUUCAAUCUCAUUUCCAGUAAUAUCCAUCAACAAUUUAUGAUUAGUAUAAUAUAAAACACACAUUCCAACGUACAUAAAGACAUCCACUUAUUUAUACAUUUAUAGUAUGAAUUAUAUAUAUUCAUAGUCACAUAUGUACGACGUACAUACAUAUUGACAGAUACAAUAUUUAGAACUACAACCUAUAGGUGAAAAAAAAGAAGAAAAAAGAAAGAAAUUACAUAGUAGUUUCAGGAAAGAAUAGAUAAGAAAAUCAUGUUUAAGCAAUACCAUUCUAGGAAGAGUACUUUAUGCUUUAUGAAUAAUUUUUGUGUGAGCAUCUCAUUGCUUUUCAAAGCUAUAACUUAUAUUUCCCUAAAAUGUACUGGCUCUAUAUUAUUGAUUAGAAUUAUUUUUCUUUUUAUAUAUUUCUAACUAGUAAUUUGUUCAAGAACUGCCAAGGUUUGCCUUUGUUUUAAAUUAUGCAAUAUAUGAUUUAUUCAUUUUUCUCCUACGUAUACCGGAAAAGGAAAUCACAAAAUAAAUAGUUAGAAUGAGCCAUUUUGACUAGGAAU